GACGAACGCUGGCGGCGUGCUUAACACAUGCAAGUCGAGCGAGAAAGCGCCUUCGGGCGUGAGUACAGCGGCGAACGGGUGAGUAACACGUGGGCAACCUGCCCCAGAGACUGGGAUAACGUCCCGAAAGGGACGCUAAUACCGGAUGACGCGCGAUCUGCCAAGUAGGUCGCGCCAAAUGGUAGCUUCGGCUUCUGCCCUGGGAUGGGCCCGCGCCGGAUUAGCUUGUUGGUGGGGUAAUGGCUCACCAAGGCGACGAUCCGUAGCUGGUCUGAGAGGACGAUCAGCCACACUGGGACUGAGACACGGCCCAGACUCCUACGGGAGGCAGCAGUGGGGAAUCUUGCGCAAUGGGCGAAAGCCUGACGCAGCAACGCCGCGUGAGCGAAGACGGCCUUCGGGUUGUAAAGCUCUGUCAGGAGGGACGAAGCCACUCAGGUGAAUAGCCGAGAGGGUGACGGUACCUCCAGAGGAAGCCCCGGCUAACUACGUGCCAGCAGCCGCGGUAA
rnacentral:rRNA from 1 species